rnacentral:rRNA from 1 species
GAGCUAUACAUGCAAAUAGAGUUCCGACCAGUGAUGGAAGGAAUGCUUUUAUUAGAUUCAAAACCAAUCGGUAGCGGGCUUGCCUUGCCGCCGUUUGACUUGAUGACUCUGAAUAACUUAGUGCUGAUCGCACGGUCUCGUACCGGCGACGCAUCUUUCAAAUGUCUGCCUUAUCAACUGUCGAUGGUAGUUUCUGCGACUACCAUGGUUGUUACGGGUAACGGGGAAUCAGGGUUCGAUUCCGGAGAGGGAGCCUGAGAAACGGCUACCACAUCCAAGGAAGGCAGCAGGCGCGCAAAUUACCCACUCCCGGCACGGGGAGGUAGUGACGAAAAAUAACGAUACGGGACUCAUCCGAGGCCCCGUAAUCGGAAUGAGUACACUUUAAAUCCUUUAACGAGGAUCUAUUAGAGGGCCAGUCUGGUGCCAGCAGCCGCGGUAAUUCCAGCUCUAAUAGCGUAUAUUAAAGUUGUUGCGGUUAAAAAGCUCGUAGUUGAAUCUGUGUCCCGCACUGUCGGUUCACCGCUCGCGGUGUUCAACUGGCAUGUCUGUGGGACGUCCUGCCGGUGGGUUUAGCCCGUCAAAAGGCGACCCAACUAAAAUCCUACCACGGUGCUCUUUACCGAGUGUCGAGGUGGGCCGGCACGUUUACUUUGAACAAAUUAGAGUGCUUAAAGCAGGCUCAUUCGCCUGAAUAUUGUGUGCAUGGAAUAAUGGAAUAGGACCUCGGUUCUAUUUUGUUGGUUUUCGGAAUGCCGAGGUAAUGAUUAAUAGGGACAACUGGGGGCAUUCGUAUUGCGACGUUAGAGGUGAAAUUCUUGGAUCGUCGCAAGACGAACAGAAGCGAAAGCAUUUGCCAAAUGUGUUUUCAUCAAUCAAGAACGAAAGUUAGAGGUUCGAAGGCGAUCAGAUACCGCCCUAGUUCUAACCAUAAACGAUGCCAGCUAGCGAUCCGCCGAAGUUCCUCCGAUGACUCGGCGGGCAGCUUCCGGGAAACCAAAGCAUUUGGGUUCCGGGGGAAGUAUGGUUGCAAAGCUGAAACUUAAAGGAAUUGACGGARGGGCACCACCAGGAGUGGAGCCUGCGGCUUAAUUGACUCAACACGGAAACCUCACCAG